AAAAAAAAAAAAAAAAAGCAAUUUAAAUGGGAGAAGAUACUAAAGACGAAUCAGAAACUAUAUAAAGGUCAAUCUAUCAAUGUUAAGCGAGGAUUUUGAAUCUAGCAGUAUCUAAAGAGAAGCAACUCAACCUUAAAGCAAAACAAAUUUCUAUCAAGUUUUUUUAACUUUUAUUUUAAACUAUUAAAAUCUAUCCAAUCUAAUGUCCAUGUGCACUCAUAAAAAGGUUAAUAUGAAAACACAUCAUCAUACAUCAUUAGCAUAUCAUAAUCAAAAUCUUUAAAUUAACAUAAAAUUAAAAUAAAUAGAUAAUAUUUUAUAAAAAAAAUUUUCUAUCCAGUCCUAAAAAGAUCCUUCAUCAUCAAUAGCAGGCACCACCCAUGUGUGCAAGUAGUAUACUGACAGUCUUAUCUCAAAAACAGUAUGAAAUGUUUUUCCAUCACCCAGGCCAAAAAAAAAAAAUUUAUCUUCAUCCUCAAACCUAAUGGCAGGAUCUUAAGUGCAUUUUUUAAUCGCAUGAAAAAAACAGGAAAAGUGCAACAUAAUAGAAGAGAUAUGGUACACAAGUAAAUGCAAGCUACGCAACCAGCCAGAAAUUAAAAAAAUAAAUAAAUAAAGACACAGAAGCUAACAUGGAAAGCGAAAAGGUUACACAAACAAGGCAACAACUAUCAGCGUAGAAGACGACAAUCAAGAGGUCAAUACACAUGAUGUCUCUAGAUCCACAACUACGAGUUAAGUCAAGCGCACAAUAACCACUUGUUAGGUUUAUUUCUAUGACUACUUUGUAUUUUACUCGGUAACUAUAGAAUUUCUCACUAGUAUAGCUUGUAUCUCAAUAAAGCGAUGGGUUGCCAUAAUCAUUUCUUAAUUCAUAGAUCAUCAUUUCCUUGAAGCGGAGAAGAAUACUACAAUACAAACAUUUCCACCAUAAACAACAAAAUCCAAACAGAUCUAAAGCAUCACUGAACCGACCAAUAGCUGACAAUAAUAAUCUAAACACUGAAAUCAAGCCGAUCUAUGACGGUUAUUUUCUCUAAAAUGAUCAAACAAAUCAACGAAAAUGAAAAAACAAAACGGAAAAAUUAAAAAUCACAUCUGUGAUCUCAAGAAGUAAUACUCACCGAAGAAGAUGAUUGCUGAUACA
rnacentral:misc_RNA from 1 species